GGAAAGAAGUAGAUGAAAUAGUAGUCCUUGCGGUAGAAAAAGUCGUAACAUGAACACACCAUCAGGUAUAACCCAACGACAAGCUCCAGGACAUGGAAUCUGAUUUGCUGGUCCACAUGACCAACGAUGCUGUUGAUAACGAUAAGCUUUGAAUGUGCUUGGUAAUUCACUUUUGACCUAAGAAUCCAAAAAGUUACCUCAUGAGAACAAUAUCCAGCUUGUUGCCAAAUUAUUUAUUUGUCAGGUUAUCUUUUUUGUUUUGCAACUACUUGCGUUUCAUGCUAAUGAAAUACUAUGUGAUUUGGAAUUAAGUAAUGAAUCUUCAGUUUAUGAUGUUUAAAACUGUAGUAGGAGUUGCUGCUGUUGAUAGUUAAAUCAUGUUUCUGAUGAAAUGCAUCCAUUAUAUGUAAGAGUUCCCUUUUUUGAAAGAAAUUUAUAUGUAGUUGAAAGCAUCUAUUCUUAUGGAAAAAAAAAAAAAACAAAGGAGUGCACCUUGAUGUUACCGAUGUAUAAAAAUUUCCAACCGCCAAGACCAGCCCUGACUGCUAAAUCCAUGUCUUCAACAGUAGUUCUAUCUUUCCAACCCCCAGCUUCAUUUAUGGCGUGGAUUCUCCACACUCCAGCCGUACCUAUAUCAGACAGACAAAUGUACUCUAUGAAAUUUCUGCAGCUUUGUAUCUGCACUACACAAAGACGGACUGUUAUAGAUCUCAAACGUUUUGUGUUUUGUGCCUCUUUACUGCUUGCUUUCUUUCAACUGUAUUCUUUCCUGGUCCUCAUUCAUAGUUUUUCUAGUUCAGUCAGAAUACCAGGUAAUCUGUUUGUUCUGUAAGCUGAGUCUUAUUAUGAUUUCUGGAAUUUAAUGCUUAUCUGUUCUUUUGGUUUCUCUUUGUAAAUUGGUUGCAAAUUGAGUAGUCCGAGCAAGCGAGUUUAUCAGGUGAUAUUACAUCUUUGUUGUAAUGAAUUUAUUUGUUGUUAUAGUAUACUGGCUCCCUGUUGCACCUGUAACAUGUUCCUUUAUUUUUCUUAUUGUGAGCAAAGUUAUGUUCCAAUAUGCAGAUUAGCUCAUAAUAAGAUUCUUACCAUUGUAACCGAAGAAUGCGCACGAGGUGGAACCUGAUUCUUGCUCUACCUUGAAGUGGUAGUCCAUUGACAUCUCUUGCAUCCUUGUCAUCAAGCACUCGCUUGCGUUUACUAGAGAACCAUGGAGAAAUAUCUUAUUAGCAUCUUCCCAAAUUAUAAUUUUGAAUUCCAACUUAGCACUCUAUAACGAUAUUUAUCCUUUUGAGUGCCUUCUUUUGUAUGCCUAAGCGAGAGCAUUCUCUAGAGGGCCGUCUACAAAGUUUUUUUACACACCAGGUAAUCUCAUCAUCCAUAUGAAGGAGGCAAUGCCAUCUAUGGUCCACCAAUUGGCCGAUCUGAUAGUUUGCAUCAACUUUUCCUUCGGAUGGGCAGUGAGAUCAACUAGUAUGUAGAAAAAUCCUACAUAACGGACCGUAGAGAACGCACUUCUACACUCUCUAUAUCUAAUGCAUGUGUGAGCUCAUUCGCAGGUGCUCACCAAACUGCCAACGAGCUUGAACGAGCGCAAUGUCGGUGUUGUGCACAAGGAAUGGGAUGGUCCGCAAAAGGAAAUCGGGAGCGGGUUGGAAAUCGGCAUCGAGCAUGGCAAUGUACUCGCAAUCUCCGACGUAGCUAUGCUUCAUCCCUUCUUUGAGAGCGCCUGCUUUGUACCCGUUCCUGUUGCUCCGCGUCUCGUAUUUUAUGUUCUUCCCCUUGUUGAACCAUUUUGUGCACUCGGCUUUUACGAGUUCCUGGGUGUGUUAGUUCACAAUGUAUUAGAUGGGCGACUCACAAAAAUUUAAAAUGUACUCGGUAAAACCAAUCAAAUACCUUUGACAAUAAUAAGUAACUCCAAGAAAAACAGGUGGGUGAUAAUUAAGAUUAUUUCAGGAAAUCCAGAGAACAUGCAGAUUAGCAAUUUGUUGGACAUGUGAGUAUAUAUAUUUAUUUCUAAGA